rnacentral:lncRNA from 1 species
CUAAGCUCUCUAACUUACGUACAAGUCGAGAAAAUGACACUUGAUUUUGAACCACGAAUUUCCAUUUCCGCACUCCAAGCCAUUGGGCGUCUUUAUGACCCCAGUCUACGCCGUCAGAAAGUCAAAACGUUGGGGAGGAAGAAGGGCUCUGUCAAAAAGGCUAUACUGGAUCCAGAGGAGUUAAACAAAAACAGCUCAGGCCAAUACUCUCAAGUCCAUGAGGGCCCAUACAAAACAAUAUCGUAGUUUUCCACGAGACUAUCCAGCGUACUAUAAAAAAGUGGAUGGAAUAAGCCAUAUCAGGAUGGAGAGGAAUAAUAUGGCUGACUUCAGGUCUGUCUCCAUGUGGCUCUCCUCCAGCCUUGACCGCAACCCCUUGGACUUUGUAGUUUGUAUUAUCUUGGAGAAGAAUGUCUGCCACACUUCUCAUCCGAAUUUGGAAUCUCUUCGAACUGCCAUCAUGAUAGCGAGGGAUGCCAUGGAUCGUCAAGAGCUUCCAAUCUAUUUUCCUGCGUUUUGAAGUUGUUAUUGCUUGUAAAUGAGGAUAUUUUAAAUCAAAAAUGUAGCUAAAUAAUUUAAUAAACAUAUCACCUAUUGUU